UUUCUUUUUUUGUCCUAUCACGAGAAAAUGAACAUGACGAGUGCCACACAAGGAAAGUAAAGCUUGGAUGAUAUCAUUGAAAUGUAAACCUUCUCUACACACACACAUACACACACACACACCAAAGCCAUGUCUUAACUUCCUGUCAUCCUUUUCCGCAAAUGUCGUACCACCAAGUCACCGUUCGACAUUCCUCAAAGUCUGGGGAGUUGGAACUCCAGCAGCCCUUCUUCUCCUGGAGCAGCCCGGCUCAUUAGUGGUAUCUCUGCAGAAGCGUGAGCAGCUCCUCCGCCAUAUGCCGAGGAACCAACCUCAUCAACUGUGCUGCCCAGUCUGUGCCAGGAUGCCUCUUCUCACGUGCUGUAAACAUCACUUGACUCACACACACACACACACACACAAUCAAGCUGCUACAGUGCCGUCUGACCCCCUCCGGCAGUUGGGAGUUCGUAUUGUUUGUUUGUAUUCAAGGAUAAAAAAAACAUGUUUUUAUAGCUAACCAAGCAACUUUCAUGAAUCACAGGAACCAAAAUAAACCUCCCCUGGUUUA